rnacentral:piRNA from 1 species
UGUCUGUUGCAAAGGCGAAUGUUGUUAU